AACGAACGCUGGCGGCAUGCCUAACACAUGCAAGUCGAACGAGACCUUCGGGUCUAGUGGCGCACGGGUGCGUAACGCGUGGGAACCUGCCCUUAGGUUCGGAAUAACUCCCCGAAAGGGGUGCUAAUACCGGAUAAUGUCUUCGGACCAAAGAUUUAUCGCCUUUGGAUGGGCCCGCGUUGGAUUAGCUAGUUGGUAGGGUAAAAGCCUACCAAGGCGACGAUCCAUAGCUGGUCUGAGAGGAUGAUCAGCCACACUGGGACUGAGACACGGCCCAGACUCCUACGGGAGGCAGCAGUGGGGAAUAGUGGACAAUGGGCGAAAGACUGAUCCAGCAAUGACGCGUGAGUGAUGAAGGCCUUAGGGUUGUAAAGCUCUUUUAACCGGGAUGAUAAUGACAGUACCGGGAGAAUAAGCUCCGGCUAACUCCGUG
rnacentral:rRNA from 1 species